AGUGAUUCUGUUGCAUAAUUACACUGUAAACUGAAGUAUUAUGCAACAUUUCACUCA
rnacentral:pre_miRNA from 1 species